AAUUAAGGUAAAUUGUUUUAUUUGAAAAUAAAAAACAAACACAACACAGUCGGGUUAUGUAUUUUGCAAAAACGCACCACACGGUCAAAUCACUGGCCACGCCGCUGCUUCGAUGCUUCUCACCAUCUCCGCCGUCGCCGGCGCUGCUGUGUAAACUGUAAUUGUCACGGCCACAGAGGAAAGCCCCCUAACACAAGUGGCGUACAGUUAGCCGCAACCCACAAAAAUUACUCACAGUUUCACAUUAGUUUAGCAUUUCCCAACUACCUGCCUAUCCACUGGAAAAGGGGUGCACAGCUAAGUUUUCAUAUGCCCAAUCCAUUAAUAUCAGGUUUAUGGAAGAUAAUUUCCGGGAGUGCCACCACUAGAAGUGUCUCCUACAGGGAAUCUCCACAUUGUUACAAAUGGCUGGUGAGAAGAAUUUCAAAUCCUGCUUACUCAGUAGAAACGGCUUUGCCUGUUCGUUGUAAGGGUUGCUUUGGGUUUAGGAACCAUGGAAUGAUCAUGUAUAGAUCAAGUUUACUGGGUGCUCAGCCUGAUCGAAGAUCAUGUAUGUUUGAAGUUCGAAGUAUGAUAAGAGGAUAUGCUAAAGCCACUGCGAAUGCAGCUAUUGUGCUGAACACCAAUGAAGAUGUUAUCCGAUUUGAUGUUGGUAAUGAGCCUGGUGGAAGAAGUUCUUUGAAGGAAGCGAAUAAAACUGCAAGAAAGGCUGAGAUGUCAAGGAAGGCAAAGUUGAAUGAACUUCGAUUUUAUCGAUUGAAAGCAAAGAAGAAAAUGAAUUCUCCUAACCCUGAAGUGAGAAUAAGAUACAAACUUGAAAAGGCAAAAAGGAAGGAAACAUGGUUGAUCGAGAAAUUGAGAAAAUACGAGUUUCCGAAAGCACUGCCCGAAACCCAUGAUCCUGAAAUACUGACUGAAGAGGAAAGGUUUUACCUGAAGCGUACUGGUGAAAAGAAGAAACAUUAUGUUCCGGUUGGGAGACGAGGUGUCUUCGGAGGUGUUGUUCUUAACAUGCAUCUCCACUGGAAAAGACACGAGACGGUCAAAGUCGUUUGCAAGCCUUGCAAACCUGGGCAAGUCAAUCAAUAUGCCGAAGAACUUUCUAGGUUGAGCAAAGGCAUAAUUAUUGACAUAAAACCCAAUAAUAUCAUAAUAUUCUAUCGGGGGAAGAAUUACGUUCAGCCCGAUAUAAUGUCGCCUCUCGAUACUCUGUCUAAAGCAAAGGCCCUGGAAAAGUAUCGAUACGAGCAGUCCUUAGAGCAUACAAGUAUGUUCAUUGAAAAGUUGGAAAAUGAACUCGAAGAAUAUUAUAAACAUCGUGAGAGAUAUAAUAAAGCUAAAAGUUGAUCGACAUUGGGCUCCAAAAGUCUGCAGUAAAUACAGGGAGAGCUCAAGCACAAGCCCAGAAAAAAGACGGCAAAAAUUGUGCGAGGGCGAGGACGUGUGCUAUGAUGUUAGUGGGCGCAGCUUUGAUCACUGUUCUUCCACAAGUUAAGGUAUCAUCUGAGUUUUCCAAUUAUUUCCUUUUUCUUCCGUAACACCUUCUGCCCGUGGUAAAGGAAGGAAUUUACAAUCCCGGCAACCGUGAAUACACCUGCGCGAAGGAAUAAAAGAUAUGCGUGACGAAGUGAAGGAACGGCGUCCGUGUCUCUGUGAAAGUCACCUGCGACGAACAAAACACAAACACAGACCUAAUCUCAGCGGGCAUCGAUCAAAUUGAGCUGUACAAAGCUACAGGAAAACGUUAGCGCGAACCUGUAUAGGGGAAAGAUCGUAAUAGAAGAAAACUCCCGGAGGUGACUCGAGACGGUCUUCAGAACUCAUGUAGUGCUCAGUCACAGAGAACUGGAUGAGCCGAAUUGAAUCGAACCGAAUUGACAUUAAUAUAAAACCAAAAAUACAUUUCCCAUUAGUAGAAGGUACCAACCUGAUUUGAGUGGAUAGUAUGGCCUAUGAUGUUGGUGUACACAGUUGGAACCACCUAUAUAUAUAUAAUAUUAACGAUUGACUGUGAAUUUCUACGUCAUAAAAAGAAAAAUGGACUGCGAAU